rnacentral:rRNA from 1 species
UAGUUUGGAUCCUGGCUCAGGACGAACGCUGGCGGCGUGCCUAAUACAUGCAAGUCGAACGCUUCUUUUUCCACCGGAGCUUGCUCCACCGGAAAAAGAGGAGUGGCGAACGGGUGAGUAACACGUGGGUAACCUGCCCAUCAGAAGGGGAUAACACUUGGAAACAGGUGCUAAUACCGUAUAACAAUCAAAACCGCAUGGUUUUGAUUUGAAAGGCGCUUUCGGGUGUCGCUGAUGGAUGGACCCGCGGUGCAUUAGCUAGUUGGUGAGGUAACGGCUCACCAAGGCCACGAUGCAUAGCCGACCUGAGAGGGUGAUCGGCCACAUUGGGACUGAGACACGGCCCAAACUCCUACGGGAGGCAGCAGUAGGGAAUCUUCGGCAAUGGACGAAAGUCUGACCGAGCAACGCCGCGUGAGUGAAGAAGGUUUUCGGAUCGUAAAACUCUGUUGUUAGAGAAGAACAAGGAUGAGAGUAACUGUUCAUCCCUUGACGGUAUCUAACCAGAAAGCCACGGCUAACUACGUGCCAGCAGCCGGGGUAAAUA